rnacentral:rRNA from 1 species
GACGAACGCUGGCGGCGUGCUUAACACAUGCAAGUCGAACGGAAAGGCCCUGCUUUUGUGGGGUGCUCGAGUGGCGAACGGGUGAGUAACACGUGAGUAACCUGCCCUUGACUUUGGGAUAACUUCAGGAAACUGGGGCUAAUACCGGAUAGGAUCUCCUGCUGCAUGGUGGGGGUUGGAACGUUUCGGCGGUUGGGGAUGGACUCGCGGCUUAUCAGCUUGUUGGUGGGGUAGUGGCUUACCAAGGCUUUGACGGGUAGCCGGCCUGAGAGGGUGACCGGCCACAUUGGGACUGAGGUACGGCCCAGACUCCUACGGGAGGCAGCAGGGGGGAAUAUUGCACAAUGGGCGGAAGCCUGAUGCAGCAACGCCGCGUGCGGGAUGACGGCCUUCGGGUUGUAAACCGCUUUCGCCUGUGACGAAGCGUGAGUGACGGUAAUGGGUAAAGAAGCACCGGCUAACUACGUG